CCUAAACCCACAGUGUCACGAGCCCGCUGAUUCACGACGGAUUAAACGGAUUCGCGCAAAGAAAUUCUCCAUAACAGGGCGCGCGCGCGACCCCCAUUUAUACGCAUAAUUGGAGCUAUUCAAUUGUUCAGUAGCUCUGAACUGUGUCUUUCCGUGUCCUCUCUGUCCGAAAGCUCAAAUGCGCUGCAGACACAGCACGAGCCUGAUCAGAACGUUUGGGUAAAACUCUAAAAGCGUCAAAGGACCCAGUAGCAGAAAGAUAAGGACAGUUCUCACUAGGAAUCCUUCAUGUAUCCUCACGUGGAUGUAUGUUUAGAUUGCAUCCGUUUGUCCCACAGAAUGAGUGCAGCCAGCUGGCUCAUGAGUCGGUGUGGGACCUACCUGCAGUCCAGUCCUGGGUGUCAGAGCAGAGCUGCUGAGGACUGUGAUUGGCCUGGAAGACUGUUGGACCAUGCAGGGACACAGAGUCCACAUUUUAACCACAGACACAGACGCAGGGACACUUUCUGCCCCAGAUGAAGGAAGGAGCCGAACAUGCAGGACUCCUCCGGACUGCAGUCUCUUUGGUCAUUGACGGUAAAAAGCUUGUUGCUCCACUUUUUGCUGUCGAAGGAUGGCCCCCACUCCCCACAAGACGCGCAGCUGCUUCGAAUCAGUCACCUGACUCCCGUUCCCUAUCAGGGGGGUAUUUAGGAGCAACCCGGAGAUCCAGUCCCUGCCGGAUCGUUAGAUGCCAAUAGGUUAUACCUUGUACGACCAUUGUUCACCCUGCCGGACUUCGCCUCACCUAACUUCGAAUCACCUGACACGCCAUUAUCUCUCGUUGGGUCAAGGACUCUGUGAAGGGACCCACUCCAGGAACCAGAAAGUUGCAGACUACUGGUGGUUUUCUGCUUUGUUGUUUUUGUUGUUUGACUCACGGAAUUAAACCUUUUGUUUCAACCCUCCGGUCUGCGUCUGGGUCCUGUCCGAGCAAACUGACACUAGAAGUAAUAAUCGCAUGAUUUCUUUUUCUGCAUAAUAGAUGUUUGAUUUGUGUCUGAGUUUAGCAUCAGAAAGUGCUAAAGUUUGGGAACGAUCUAAUAAAUACAACUUCAACCAG
ensembl:lncRNA